CACGGGGGGGGCAAGCGUUGUUCGGAAUUACUGGGCGUAAAGUGUGCGCAGGCGGCUCCUUAAGUCAGAUGUGAAAUCCCCGGGCUUAACCUGGGAACUGCGUUUGAAACUGGGGAGCUCGAGUGUGGAAGAGGGGGGUGGAAUUCCAGGUGUAGCAGUGAAAUGCGUAGAGAUCUGGAGGAACACCGAUGGCGAAGGCAGCCCCCUGGGCUAACACUGGACGCUCAUGCACGAAAGC
rnacentral:rRNA from 1 species